GACGAACGCUGGCGGCGUGCUUAACACAUGCAAGUCGAACGGAAAGGCCCUGCUUUUGUGGGGUGCUCGAUUGCCGAACGGGUGAGUAACACGUGAGUAACCUGCCCUUGACUUUGGGAUAACUUCAGGAAACUGGGGCUAAUACCGGAUAGGAGCUCCUGCUGCAUGGUGGGGGUUGGAAAGUUUCGGCGGUUGGGGCUGGACUGGCGGCUUAUCCGCUUGUUGGUGGGGUAGUGGUAUACCAAGGCUUUGACGGGUAGCCGGCCUGAGAGGUGGACCAGCGACAUGGGGACUGCGAGAGGGAGCAGACGGCAACGGGAGGCAGCAGGGGAGAAUAUUACGGAGUAGGCCGACGCCUGUUGCAACGACGCCGGGUGCGGAAUGACGGCUUACGGGUUGUAAACCGCUGUCGCCUGUGACGAAGCGUGAGUGACGGUAAUGGGUAAAAAAGCACCGGCUAACUACGUG
rnacentral:rRNA from 1 species